GCACAAUGCCGCGAUUGUUCCGAUGGUCGGGACUCUCGUUACCGUGUCUCUCGUUGCUCAUAAAUCGCCUUGUUCCUUUAGCUGUGGCGCGAGUACGAGACUACGCGUAAGAGUGAACGUAUAUACGCGAAAAAGGAAGCGUGUCCGUGCAUUGGUCCGCGUAUCGCAGUCGCUGCAGAGAGAGAAGUGUCAGCUGUAACUUUUAUUGGUUAUAAAAGCUCGAGAUAUUAUGCUGAGCCAGAACGAUGAUGAUAACUCGUCUUCAUUUCCUGGUGCGGUCAGCACGGCACGAGCCCACUCGCGGUUAAUGGACGAUACGAAACAAAGAAACGAGCAACGAAGACGACACGCCUUGGCCAUAGGGCGAAAUCUUCCGAGAAGCGAUUACGAUUAACGCACGCGCGAAACUCGGAAGCUUCGACCGCAAGUUACACCGUUUUCGAGAUGCUCGAAGGGGCCGACUCAUAAUAAUUAUCCUUGCUGAGGUUCGACGGCGGGCGCGGUCUCCGCCAUCAAAAACCCACGUCGAUGAAGCGCGGAAUUGCGGGCUCCAUUCUACGGCAUUGUUGGCAGUACGACGUUUUAAUUGGCGAUCCCCGAUGAAGCACUCUUCCACGUCGAAAAUGAACUAUCACCGUGAUACGCACGUUUUCACCGACGAUAAAGAUAUAUUCCACGUAGUUAACCCUCCCGGUGCCCGUUUACGGUCGACGAUGCACUCGAGGGUUAUCCAAUAUCUUCCAUGGAAUUACGUGCACUCUAGCAUUUAGCAAGACAAGAUUGCUCGAGUAGUAUCGCGACGCUUAAUACUCAGGCUAGUGCUUUUAAGCGUUGCGAUAAGUUUUCUGUCGCGUUGUUAAUACAACGACCCCUGACUGUAUGACACAGUACAAAUUGCGUUCCGGACGUAUCGUUUCUUUUCCCCUUCUUUUUCUCUCUCGCUUUAUUCUCUUUCUUUUACUUUUCUCGUUUCUGCCAACAAGCUUUAAACGGAUAUCCCCUUUCACGCUGCUUUCAUUUCCCGCAUAAAAAAGCAGCUAGCCACGGUGAAACAGCAUGCAAGAAACGAACACGCAAUUUCAAUCGUAUUUUUCGCCAGAAUCAACGAGACGUCGCGUCGGUUAAUCGAAACCUGCUUCGAGUCGCGACAACUUGCGCGAUGACCGCGUGUUUCAAGACGAAUGACCAAUACCAUGGAAAAUAUACGUUGCCGCUGUAUCAACGACCGACACCGUCUAAUGGAAUACCGACUAUAAUAUGAUACAUUAAUAACGUACACUAGGAACUGCGUUCCUCAUAGCUGCUAUUUCAAGAGAUGUUAGUUGAGACCGUACCGCGUUCAAUUCGCUACGAAAUAAAGAAAAAAACAGAAAUGUUCCAACGUUACGAUUACGAGAACUUUUAUCGCGGCGUAGCAACGGUUUCGAUUUAGGCGAGCUCACGUUCCUCCAACGGCUUACGUCGUAAGCACUAACGAAGUUAAUGACGUGUCAGAAACGUAAUGGCGUAUCAUCGUUCGAAGACGAGGUAUAUAAAGCAUAUGUUUCAAAGCUUCGUGUAAUCGAGCAUCGCAGUAAACGCUGUGUGGACGAACACAAUGGCAACGACGAAGGGCCAUUAAAGAGGUGCGAUUAAAUUUAAUUAUCAAAUUUUACGAUUAUUUGGGGCGCGACCGGGUUAAAUGUGCUUGCAUCCACUGGAUAGCCGAAAGGGCGCAAAAAAGCCAAGGGGUUCGGAGACGCAAAAACCGAGUUAGAAUUUUCUUCUGCAGUAUAAAAGAGCUAAUAAACCUAUAAACCUGUCGCGCAAUAUACUCAUAUUGUCCGUUAUUCCAUAAAAUAUCAUGUACAAUAUAGAAUACUAUAAAUCUACGAGACCUCUGUGUCUCAUAAAUAGCAUUAAAGUCCCUUCUUCGUUGCACAAGCGUACAAAUGAAUCGAAUUGUCACGCUCUGCGGUUUCCGUGUAAUUUUCUAAUUUUAUCUUUCUUUUUUCCACCAUAUGCAAACGCAAGAAAAAAGAAAAGGAGAAUUAACCGACAAACGUUAGUCUGUCACGGCGAAUUUCAUCCGUGAAACUAUACCGCGAGACGCGUUAACUACGACGAUUAAAUGAGCAGGCCGUUUGCUCGAGUGUAAUCGUUUUUAUCAUCGCGGGUCAACCCCGCGCACGCUUUUAUGCUCCUCGUGAAAAUCCAAGUCGAACUCGUAGUUUCUCCGAGCCGCGUAGGCUUUGUUUCCGAUGCUGCACGUGGGUCAACGUUCAAAAUGUUCCGCAUAAACCGAAGGCUUAAUAAAGUCAGGAAUCCGGGCUAUUCCGUUCGUAGUCGACAUUCCGUAUUGGAUGAGCGACCGUUUACAACCUUUCGACGAUCCUACGAGUCUCGCUCGGUGGAACCGGGAACCAGAAACGAUUACAUAUAGAGAAGCGAGAGAAGCAGCGUCGAGGGGGCAGAGGUCGGAACGAUUUAACGAAAUGAAAAAACAGUGCGCUUAACGUACGCUUUAAUGAUGGGUCAGAAACAACCAGGACCUGCUAGGUCUCUUUUAGCAAUAAACGAGGCCUGACUUUAUUGACCGGAAGAGCUUCGCUGCCGAACGAUUUGGACAGUUGGACAUUCGACCAACGAAUUUCCGGUUUAUAAGCGAGCCUGAGAGUCGUAACGCCACGCCGUUAACGAUUAACGAUUCAUUUAGGAACGUUUAGUACGACGGACGAGGGUUCCAAACGUUAUGUCGACCGGCAUCUCUUGCUCGCUGCGAUAAGGGAAACCUUUCUUGGAAAUGGCAGCUUUGAAUAUGCGCUUACAGGUUGCUGCAAAUUGAGGCGCGUGAUGAGAAAAAAGUGUUUUUUAGUCUUUUGGCAAAUGGGAAGGUAUACGAGUAUAAUUUAGCAAUACGUGUCGUUAAGAUAUUUGUACGCUGCUAGAAAUUUAUCGGUAGUAUUGUUAGUCAUCGACGAUACUUUCCAUUGCAAAUGAUGGUGCGCCAUGCUGUUAUACGUUCGGUUUGCUUAUUGAGUUGGAAACUGAUGUCCAUUGUAUUUUAAUUUAUAUGCUUCGAUAUCUAAAAGAAAGCCAGUUUAUUUAUUAAUUUUGAAAUUCCACACAUUUGUUGUAUCUUAAGUUUUAUAUUUUUAAAUUCAGAUUGUUUAUUGGUUCGAGAAAUCUGUUGCAUCCGCAGUAUUUUAAUUAUUAUACUCUUAAAUUCAAAUUCAGAUUUUGAAUUUUCAUAUUCGAAUUUGUGUUUCGUAUUUUCAAAUCCAGAUUUUAAAUACGUACGUCUGGUUUCGUUAUUCUCUUUUUACGCGAAAAUUAGAUUCCGUUGUGAACGAUCCUGUACAGACGAACGUCACCCGUGUAAUUCACGUCAUUCCGAAGUUAGUGGCGCAUUAAACAUACUGAAACGCGUCUACAGAAUAGGAGACAAUUCGUCGUCUCGUUAAUGUCGUCGCUCGAGAUCGUAUAACUUGCUCUACUGUGAAAUUAAACCAAGAAUCGAUUAACCAGAGAGCGCAUAAAUUAAUACACAAGAUGCCAUUUGAACGAAGAAAAAUAGUUGCGUGACCGAAAUUUUGAUCACGUAUUUUGGAAAGCAAAUAGAUAGAAGUAAUAGACAAAUAUGCAACGGAGCAAUACUCAAUGGAAAUUUAAAGAAGAAAAGCGAAAGAAACAUAAAAGCACUAAAGCAUAUUUAAGCAUUAAAUGCGAAUCUUGCAUUAGAUUAACAAAAUUCAUAAAAAUUACACGCAUGAAAUCGUGAGUAAGUAAUGUACUAAAAGCAACCACGUUAGUUGGUCAAUUUCUUAAAGGACUUCUCAAGAAACGAUAUGAACCCAUCACGACAUUCCAAGAACGAUACACGACAUUCUUUCCGGACAACUAAAACCGUUCGUUGGUAGCUGAAAUCUCGUGCAUUUAGUAUUCCGUUAUUUUUUCGCGAUUUACGGAUACGAACACGUAUAAAUGUUUAAUGCAAACGAAUCAUAUCACCGGCCGCAUAAUAGCAUGACAGCACUCUUUUAAAAUGUAACGAUGGUGCCCAUCGGCAAGCGAACCUUUUUCUUCGAGCGUUAAUCCGCAUGAGGCAUACGGUCGUUUAUACGAGUGCAUUAUCGCAGCUAGCCUGUUCGCGGUUCCUCUUAACACCUUUCAUAGUUGGCGUGUCCUUGCUCUUAAAGCGAUUGCGAGUAAGUACUUCGUCUAAGUACGCUUCCUACAGAAUAUAUACGUCUGAGAUAUCGUUACAACAGUACAUUUUGCAUCUAUUUCUAUAUAUUACGCCUUCUUGCAUCCUGGCCCAUUGCAUACCCGUUUAUCAAGAGUAUCGAGUCAAUAUCAUUACCUCUUUCCUUCUUCUCUUUCCUCUUUUUGUAGUGAAGUACAAGAACAAAAACAAUUAAUCGCAAUAUAAGUUAUUGUAUGUUGAAGUUUAACGAUUGCAUUCUCUUUAUGGAGAAUUUAUUUCUCUUCUUUUUUUUUUUUUUAUUAAAGAUAUUAUUUCAAUGAAAUAUGGUUGAAAUUACGUGUGUUAUUACCUACUAUUAAACGCUACUUCAUCAAUGAACAUCAAAUGCGAAACUUUGUUUGUUAUGUGAAAUUUAGUUAUUUUGAAAGAUCAUGUAUAUUUAAACUAGAAUCUAGGAAGCGAUUUUCAACUUGGAAAUUACGACAGACAGUCUAGUGCUUGUAAAUUCCAAAUUACAUUGGAACGUUUUGAAGAAUUCGUUGAACGCGAAUGAUAGACAUAAAUCAAAUAUUAUUUUCUUUCAAGUAAAACUGUAUAACAUUGAGCGUUCAAUUAUUCGACACGGCACAGGAAAUCAAUUACCGUCUGAGCAAUCUAUCUACAAGCCCUGACAAUGACACACGAAGAGAAAGGCUCUUUUCCGCGGCAGUUCGCAGUCUACCUCUUCUCUGUCCGCGUGCUCCUUCUUUAAUAGCCUCUGCUCCCUGGCGAGCGAGGGAAGAGAGCAACCCAGCCAUAAAUAUCCCGUAGGGUAAUUAACCCUUUGAGGACGUUGAAGCUUUGACGAUUUUAAUAAUCUUAAAAGACAGCGAGUCCCGUGAUUAGUGUUCCUGUCGGCGGAUGCAAUCGACAGUGCUCUUCUCCACCAAUGCUUAGUUCGGUACGCGUAUACAUCACAAAGUUCCGCUUUCCUCGGGAUUGUACAUUGUAAUGAAAAGCAGAGAUACACAGACCAGAUAAAAAAUGAAAUGGAAGUUCGACGUCCUUUCUAUUAAAUUUCAGAACAUUUUUGUUAUCUCUCAUUUAUUACAUACUCUGAAAUAUAUUAAAAAAGAUUGGUAGAACAUUGUAAAGGUUAGAAAUAAGAAGUUUGAAUGAAUCUUUAAUAAAAUCUAUUUUUUGCAUGUAAAUUAUUCACUUGUCUUUCAAAUUUACUUUACCAUAUUUAAUUCAUUAAAUAUACACAAUAAGUGCAAAGACUAGACUGUGUAUCUCUGCAUAUAACAAGGAAACUGACUCGUGCAUGCUCUUAAAAAAGUCUUAAAUACAAAGAUGCCCUUUGGCAUACGUAAAUUGUACGUUACCGUGCGGAGACACCUGAAGAUGAUAAUGAAGAUGGUGCGACUCUGGUUCACGUAACUUUUGCCUCGUAUGAUACCCCCACGUAGGUUAUAGCACUUUGAAGUAUUGACAUAAAAGCAGUCCCUCGUGGUACGACGAAAACAAUGAGCGGUGAACAUGAAACGACCCCUACUAGCCAAUAACACACGUGGAUUAUUUCAAAAAGCUAAUUUUUCUCUAUAACCGUACACAGAGUCAAAGGACUACAUACGUACAUCAUUGUGGAACUCCGUCUGCAUUUUCUAGAAAGCGGAAAUCCCAUCGUACUUUCAACCGUACACGCUUUACAUCUUCCAUUGCAGUCUGCG